CACAGUGAGUGAAAAUUAAAUUCCUGGUCAGAAUCUGAUUCUCUACAAGACUAGUGAAAGGCCGAAUUUUCAAUCUUCAAAACCAAAAGCAGAGGAAAAUGAUGUUCAAGCUAUCAUUCAUCGUCAGUCUGCUCCUCAGUUCUGUUCACAUUCUGGGAACAAUUUCAACAACGACCUCAAAGUCUCCAGAUGUCUCCAGUACCAGCAUCCACCUGAAUUCCACAAUAAGCCUAACUCUUGGAACAAAGGCAAGUUCUACCUCCAAAUCUGAAAGGCCAAAUCUCACAACAUCAGUGACAACCAGGACAACUCUGACUUCCAUGACAACUCCAAGUUUCAAGAAAACUCUGCAAUCAACAGUGACCUCAGAGAUAGCCAAAAAUAUGACUACAAAGACUGUGACAAAUGGCAGCACAACACUCAAUCCAAAGCUUAGCAUUCAUUUUCUUUCCUAUGUACUAUUUUUGCUGUUUUCUGUAUACUCAGACUGAAACCAACUUGAACUAUCUGCAUUUCUAAUCUCAGCUCUAUUAUCUGCUGAACAAUAAGCACACCAGGAGAGUAAAUUAUUUACUACUUGAAUUAUCAGUAUUCUAGUAUAAUUCACUUGAUUGCAAACUCUGUGUGUAAGUUUAAAUGUUACCUUAAAAUGAUAAUAAUCUUCUUUUAAAAAGACAAAGUGUGUACCACCCUAUUAAAUGCCAAAGUAAGCAAAAUA